UACGGAGGAUCCAAGCGUUAUCCGGAUUUAUUGGGUUUAAAGGGUGCGUAGGCGGAUUGAUAAGUUAGAGGUGAAAUGUCCGAGCUCAACUCGGGAACUGCCUCUAAUACUGUUGAUCUAGAGAGUAGAUGCGGUAGGCGGAAUGUAUGGUGUAGCGGUGAAAUGCUUAGAGAUCAUACAGAACACCGAUUGCGAAGGCAGCUUACCAAUCUAUAUCUGACGUCGAGGCACGAAAGCGUGGGGAGCAAACAGG
rnacentral:rRNA from 1 species